CCCGCUGAACUUAAGCAUAUCAAUAAGCGGAGGAAAAGAAACCAACCGGGAUUGCCUCAGUAACGGCGAGUGAAGCGGCAAGAGCUCAAAUUUGAAAUCUGGCCCCUCCCGGGGCCCGAGUUGUAAUUUGGAGAGGAUGCUUCGGGGCCGGCCCCGGUCCAAGUGCUCUGGGAUGGGCCGUCGGAGAGGGGGAGAAUCCCGUCUGCAAGCGGGGGCUGGCCCUGGGAGAAGCUCCCUCGACGAGUCGAGUUGUUUGGGAAUGCAGCUCUAAAUGGGUGGUAAAUUUCAUCUAAAGCUAAAUAUUGGCGAGAGACCGAUAGCGAACAAGUACCGUGAGGGAAAGAUGAAAAGCACUUUGGAAAGAGAGUGAAACAGUGCGUGAAAUUGUUGAGAGGGAAGCGCUAGAAGUCAGGCGCGUCGUCCGAGAGUCAGCGUCGUCUCAGGCAUGGUGUACUUCUCGGACGACGGGCACAGCAUCAAUUUUGCCCCUUGUAUAAUAGCGAGGGAAAUGUGACACCUUUGCGGGCGUGAUAUAGUCUCUAGUCGCGUGCCACGCUCGGGAUUGAGGAACUCAUCACGCGACUACGCUCGUGGGGUGUCGCCCACCAUACGUGCUUAGGACGUUGAAGGAAUGACUCUCAACGACCCGUCUUGAAACACGG
rnacentral:rRNA from 1 species